AUCUAGGAGGAUGAGUAAAUAAAUGGAGACUGAUAGGUGCACCCCAAUUCUUUUAGUUUUUACUGAAUAAACUGUAGUUUUACAGUAUGCUUGUGUAGUAUUCUCUGAAGUAAUUACAAUGCUACUAAGCAAUUAAGCCAAGGGGCCAGGUCAUCUCUGUCUUCUAAUGUGUGCUGGUUCUUUAACUGCUUCUUGGCUCACUUGGGGAAAAAUCCUGCCCUGAAUAGAGACAAAAUACCCUGAAUUUCCAUGUUUACAUUCCAUUGAGACAGAUGUAGGAAACCUAAGACAGAGAUUGACCUCACUGGGAAUCUUACUGGAGUCAGCAGCCCAGGAUCAGGCCCUCAGUCUCUCUCUCUCUCUCUCUCUCUCUCUCUCUCUAUAUAUAUAUAUAAUAUUAGUAUCAUGCCCCAUUGUUCAGAUAUGGAUUUUGAACAUCUCAAUAUUGGUCUUUCCCAAUAGCAGAUGGUGGGAGGAGGUAGAUUUCAAGCCGUCCAGAGUUACACCAUAAUUGGAAGAGCAGAGCAUACUUGUGCCCAUCUAGUCAGUAUCCAGAUGCUGACAGUGUCUGGUACCAGCAGCUUCAAACCUAGGUGCAAGAAGUCCCAAGGUGAAUAGUUAUGGAGUAGCCUGCUCAGAGAGGAAGUUUCUCACUGGCUCUUCUAGUUGGCAGGUAGCUCAUGUCCUGAAGUUUGAGGAGUUUCUCUCUUUUUAAUGUGUUAAAGUUUGUUUCAUGCCACUGUGGAUGUUCCCAUUCCCCCUCUCCAAGCAUAAUGUUUUGUUUAGAAUACUGUUAAGCUCUUGGCCCCAGUAAUAUCUUGUGGCAGUGAGUUCCGUAGGUCAACUGUGCAAUGCAUGAGAGAGUUCCCUGCUGCUUGUGUUUUUAAAUAUUGUGUCUUUUACUUUGAAAGGUUCCCUGUUUAACAAGGGAGCUCAGUAUUUACCCCCUUUUUUCCCUUGGGUGCAGCCCUAGAACAUACUUCUCUCUUUGUUCUAACCCAUCCUUGAUUGCAAGGCUUGCUUCAAGGCUUCAUUUUCCCCUUCUGUUCCCCAGAAGACAGGCUGUGUCAGGAAGGUGAAAGCAGGUUCAGGAAGAAAAAAAUUAGUGUGCAUGGGUGGUGAGGAAGUAAGGAGCAAUUGUUGUUAUUGUCUCUGUCUCUGUACAGUUAAUGGUACCCAUGCAUUUUAUUUAGUGAAAUGUCUGCAGAUUUAAAUAAAGUAAUGUCAGAGCAAUAGUGUUUCUUUCAUAUUUAAUACUCAAAUGAGUGUUUAAUCCCUCAGGUCCCCACUAGGGGCCUCUCCAUACAUUCUGGAACUCUGUCCGUGCAUACUGCACCUUUUCUAAGGGUGGAUUGCAGUGAUGCAGGCUGGUCAAAAGCUAGUACAGACUAAAGUCUUCUCUGUGCUGUGCUGAGAUACUCCAUUCCAAGCUGACAUAGGGGUGCUAAGUUUGGGAGUUAGAUAACUCCUUUCUCUUUUUAGUGCAAGUGCUCUGGCUCUCAAGGGCAGGGGAGAGAGGACUCAGGAAACUGGCUAGCCCAGGCCCUGUGCUCCUAAGGGGAAUCCAACCCAUCCCUGAAGCAGGGGGUGUAGUGGAAGCCCAACAUUUUGGGCCACCCCUGCCUCAAGGUCCUGUGUUGUGCAGAUUGCUGCCAGAAGCUCUUAACAAGAAUUCCACUGCACCCCUGCCCUCGGGAACCUGUGAUGCCUCCUUUUUUCCCUCCGAAAGAGCCCUAAAAAUUGCGCUCAAGUUAUCCAUAUGGUUGGCAUGUAAUCAGGCUCUUGACAAUCUAGACCUUUGUACUUGCAGUGCAUACAAUAAAGAUACUAAAUCAGCUUUUUUCUAUGAAGUUUUUAUUUUAGCAUUUCAGUGCAUUUAACCCUAUGGAUCCUUUGCUUGGUUAUUUGAUUCUGUUGGAUUUUGGGAUUGCAGUAGCAGUUGAGGAACUUUGCAGUGAGGGAGUUAUUAAUUUAUAUUCAGAGGGAAAGAUCUGUUUUUCCUAAAGCAGAACCUGAAAACUCGGGGUUGGCUUAGAAUCAAUACAGCAUUGUAAUAAAAUAACGUCUGCUAGGAAGGGUUCCCCUGCAGCAGGUGCAGAAACAGGAGCUCUGAUUGCUGAUGGAUGUUUUGCUGCCACCAAGUCUGCUGAUAGGAGCAAACCCAUAGAUGCAUUCAUUGCAACAGCAAACUUACAUAGCAGGGAAGGCCUCGGAGUGAGGUAUGUGCAGGUUGGCAGGGAGGGAGUUAAUCUGUUUUACACUGGCUGUUGACUGCACCUAAGUGUCAGGGCUUGUAUUGGGAGGAACAAGGCUGGGCUAGGCUAGAUGCAUGGAUGUAUUCAGUCCUCUCCCUGCUUCCCUCCCUUAGCCUUAGUAAUGGAAGGCUGCAUUCUCCAAAGUGCGGGGUGCAGCACCCUGAGGGAUACUUGGUUGGCUCUGUAUGAGGUGCUGAGGGCUGGAGUGGCAGGAUCUCUAGGAACAAGGGUGCAGCUGAUAGCAUGCUUCCUCCUUCCUUUCUCCUUAGAGGUUGUGUGAAAUUUGCCUGAAGCCAGUCCCCUUGUGCACCACAGCUUUGGCUGAGGAAGCUCUCACUUCGCUUGUGUUUGGCCUUUCAAGGGCUGGGCUCUCCUUUUCAUUUUGUUUCAGCUCAGAGGGGUUUAAACUCCACCCAAGCUUGCAGCACCAUUGCUAGCUACUGUUGAUUUGUCUGUCCAGCCUGGAGGAAGACAAGAAGACUUUAUAAGGAAAGGAAUCAUAGGCAAGAUGGUCAUUGCAGUGAUCCAGUGGCUGAAGUUGCCGACUGGAUAACAGAAUACAUGAUUUUCUAAAAAUUGGAGGCAGCACUGCAUGUGAAGCUUUUGAAGAAUGCACUGUUUGACCUGAGCAGUUAACUGCCACAUAAGGCUUUGCUGGUGUUUCCAUUAGGCAGAUAAAUUGUUGCUGAAGCAAGUGUUCUUCGGUGCUGUUCUAUUUAUUCAUCAGAAACCAGAGGAUCCUGUUUCCCUGGGCAUGGUAGGAUCAAACAACAAGAGCAGUUUCCUUUGCUCAGACUGUCCAACCUGCCUUUCCAAGAAAUGCCCCCCCCCCACAGCAGGGAUUCUCCAAAAACUCUUUCUUUUGAUAUUUGCAGCUUUCUCCUCAGGCAGACCAUAGUACAAAGCAAUUACUUAGCCUCUUUGCAUUUCCAACCAGGUUCAAGUAAACCCCUCAGACCUACACAGCUGCUAAGGUUUCCCUGUGCAGUGAGGUGCCUUGGGCAAUGGCUUCUGUUGACUCUAGUAUCUCAUUUUAUAAGAGAGCCUAACUACUCCUUCCAUUUAUCUUGAAAAAAGAGGAGAGGAGCCCUAACGAGGUCUGUGAUUAUCUGUGGUUAAAUUUAUGAAGCAACUCUUUGAUCUAUAGCUUCCAACAGAACAGUAGGCCACAUCUCUUGUACUUUUCCUGUACCAGGACACGAGAGAGCAGAGUUAACAGUGCAUCACUGAUACAGUUCCUACUACUCUUCACAGGUACCUGCUGCAGCUGCAGCUAGCUUUGGAUGGUAUGAGGAGCCCUCCCGUCUCUGUGGAUGCCUGACCCUUGCUGGAUGAAUAGUGGCAGAUGCUAUUUGAAGCAUAACGCUGAUCCUACCAGAGCUGCCUUGGGGAUUCUCUUUUCAGGAUCAAACGAUGCUUCACUAAAGAGAAGCUUUGAGUAAAGGGCUCAGUCAGAGACCAAUGAAGAGAUGACAGAGGUGCCUGGUUGAAAAUGUGUUAAUGACUUCAGCAGAGUGGCCAAGGGCUGGCAAAGCCCAAUUCCCUUCUCAUCCUGGGAGGCAGCCUCUCUGGCUCAGGUCUGAGACAAGUUGCGGGAGUGGUAUCCGAGGAGCUUUACAGCUAUUGGUGCUGUACUUCCCCUCUAGAUAAAAGCAAGUAUCUAUCUCCAGGGCUGUCAGUUGGUACUUUUCAUGAUCUUUCAAAUCUUUCUUUUUAACAAAAAAGACAGGCUGGCCUACGGACUGGCAACGGGCUGCAGAGCCCCUCCCUGUCAGGCAGAUGACUUGAUCCCCAGUGACAAAAGUCCACAUCAGCCUGUGGUAGGCCAGGGCCUGUGUGAGAUGGAAAAACUGAGGCACAGAGUGAGGAAGUGGAUUACCCGAGGUCACCCAGAAACCAAUAGCAGAGCAGGGAAUAGAAUCUAAAUGUGGUGAGUCCCAGGAAGAUGCUAUAACAAGUAGACAACUGUGUAUCCUGCUUUAAAAAAUGUAACUGUAUUAAGAAUAUAAUGCAUCUCCUAGCUAAUCAUGACUAUUUCUCCAUAGCCAGCUUAGGGUUUUUGUUUUUUUUUUUUUUUAAAUGAAGACAUUAAUAGAUUUUAUUGUAUGGAAAAAUUGGGUUAAAGGCUAGAAAUUGUUGGUAUGCUGCCUGUUUUGGCUGACGAACUACAGGCUGGGCUUUAUAUCAGCCAUGGAAAAAAUGCUGCAGCCCUACUUUAGAAUCCCUCUCUAUUUAAGAGGAAUGCUUUUUUUCCCUGUAAGUAUGGCCAGUAACCUACUUGGAGGCUUUGCUUAGCUGCAUGCUAUUUGAAGAAAUGUGAACUUUUAAAUUGGGUUAAAGGUACUGAUAGUUUUGAGAAUUGUCUUAGAAUUUUAAAAUCUGGUGCAGAUGCAGCCCUUUGCAUUGUGAUGAUCACCUUUUGUUAAUUACCUUGUCAUCUUUGUUCCAUUAAUGGAAUGUUAUUAAUGGCUAAAGGCUCAGGUUAAUUCAAUGUUAAUGUGUAAACUGGGAGUGUAUGGUUCCUAAGGCAUCCCACAAAGGGGAAUAAUUGGUUUAUUACUACUUCUGUGCUUUUUUUGUCACACACAGGGAGCAGGAUGGGAUUUUUCUUUUUACUCUUAAUGUAUUUUUUUUUUUUAAUAUUAGAAAUUCAAGCUUUGUCUGUCUUGAUUUUCUUGGACGACUCUGUGGACAGCUGAAGAAAUAGUUGUUUUGUAACUUCAUAAGAGACAGAAACUGAAGAAACUGAGAGAAAAGGGCUGUUUAGUUGGCUGUUUAAAAUGGAGUCUUUUUGUUGUUGCUUUUGUUAACACCAAUCUUAUGUACCUAAAGCUGCUGGGGGAAAAAAAGCUGUUUUUGUGAAAAAAUAAAAAAACAAAAAACAACACCCCUCAACAUCAAAAACCAAAACAAACUUCACUUUAGGGCCAUUUUAAAUUCUUCCAGCAAAAUGAAAGAAGUCAAGAAUCACUAUUUCUACCAUGAGGAAACAAGCAGGAAACUCCCUUUGUUUCUGAGGCUUUGAUUUUGUAUGCUAAUUAAACAAAGGGCACAGGCCUUUGUACACGCCACAUUUUUUGACCUUUCUUGCACUGCAGCAGCAUGACUGUUUGCAUGAGUGGGUUUUCCGGAUGCUUUAAAAGUCUUUCUGGCACAUUAAAGUGAAACUCCUCAGAUGUAGUUUAGUUUGGCUUGCUGCGAAUUAAAGCAUCAUGUCCAUGGAUUUGUUGUGUGUAAACACAAUGGCACUAAAAGAUGUGUAAUGAGCCUCUUUGUCCACCAGAUGGUGCUGUGACUUUUUUGUAGCUCACCCCUUCAAAUUGCUUCGGCUUUCGAAUUGCUUCCUCUUUUUUUCUUCUUGUGCCAUUUGUUGGCUCUGUGCUCCCACAUCUGCAUGGUAGGGCAUGGGGUGGCAGGCCCUGGACUGGGGGGCAGUGCUGGACUGUCCCGUUCUCCUGCGGUGCUGGCCAGGGACCAGGCUAAAUUCACUUCAAAACCAAGUGCGUGCAAACACAGAUGCGACACUCCAAAGUUUAAUUUGUUUGAAAACCUAGUGGAUGCAAACACUGAUGCAACGCUCCAAAAUAAACAAGUUUAAAUUUUAUAAACCUAUUUAAUUUAAUGAAGAUUAAACCCCAUGGUGUGUACAGGUGCCCCUCUACCAUGAGGAAACAAGCAAGAAGCCCUCUUUAUUUCUCAGGCUUUGAUUUUCUAUCCUAAUGAAACAUAAAGGGUACAAGGACAACUUUUUCUUUUCUGGUCACUUUUAUUUUAAUAAUUAAAAGAUCAGGAUAUUUUCUCUCUCCCCUCCCAGGAACAACAUGAUUUAAUAACUGCAUCACAAUAUUAAAUGGCCUCUAUUGAAUGCUUUUUAAUAUCUUUAUUUUCUAUUGUUUUUUCAGGGAUAAUUGCACGUAAUAUUCCCAUCCCUGCUGGCAUUCAUCUAUUUGCAUUUGGUUAAUGUUGUGUUUUCUUUUGCUUCACCCUUUGCUCUGUGUUUCUUAAACACCCCAAGCCAGGAUGGUUUAGCUCUGUCAUUUCUCUGUGCUUCAGUAGCAGUGCUGACCCCCUAGUGUGAUAACCCUUUGGAUGCUCUAGCAAUACUUAUUCCUCAAUGUAGUCUUAAUCUGCCAGUCAGCAGAAUAUACUUUUUCAAAGGAUUAACAGCUUGUGCUCCCUUUAGUUGAGAGGCAUCAUAUAUUGAGAGGAACAAUAGAGACUUUAUAAAGUCCUGGCAGCAUCACAGAAGUGUGUGGAUGUUUGAUGAUAAGAAAAUAAACGUUUAUUUUCUUGUCAGGAUAGAGUGACUCUGCUCAGCCUGAGUGGUGUGACACCAUCCUUCUAAAUGUACAUUCUGCUUUGAAAACCUGGUCUUAGGACACAGGUAUGAACUCUGGAGGGGGGUUUCUUUUUUUACAGAUAACUUAAGACAUCUCAGCUAAUCCUGUUCCUGUGGAGUUCCACUGGCCAUGUAUGUCUAGGGAUGGAGCUUCUAGCACCAUCACCCACAUAGGACUAUCUUUAUCUCCUGGGCUUCUCCUGGAUCAGCACAGUUCUUUCUGUACAUCAGGCAAGCGUCCAAAAAGGUCACAUCUAAGACAGUGUGGAUUCAUGUAUUACUGCUGAGAGGCGACCCAGAGACACAAUCAAUAGCUUCAUCACUUGUCCUCAAAACCUUCACCGUACCUUUUUUUUUAAGGUCAUCCUGGCUACUAGACAGAAGGUCUGAUAUGUUUUUGUCUUAGGUCUCCUUGAGUAUAGGAAAGAUGCUUUCAGCUUUACAGCAGCAGCUGAGACAAGGGGGUUCUAGAGGCAGUUGUGGCCAGAGUAGGGGCAAGAUGCAGUAGUUCAAAAGAGGCUGAGUUGUGGCGGACUUGCAUCUGGUGAUUAUGCACCUCAUUACAUCCCCCCUAACAGUACCUAAGCAGGAGCAGGAAUUAGGGCAACCAUCUAUUGUAGCAGAGAGCGAUCCCUAAAAGGGAGGAAGACAAACUGCUCCCCUCUGUGUCUGUCCGAGCCUCUGCAGAGACAGACACAUCCCAGAAGCACCUCGUGUUAUUGUUGAGGCAAGAGUUGACUGACUAGGUGAGAGCUCCCUUGAUUCCACACUGUUAGGCUGGUGGCCCUAGGAGAUCAGUAUACCAGCCUUGCUGAGCUGAAGUCAUGCUGCAUGCUAAGAGUUAUUCCUCUCAAGGCAGGGAAAAGAAAAAGGAGCCAAACUUUCCUCAGCCAGUAGCAGAAGCAUUGUGUCCGACCAAAUGUUAUAUCAGAGCUCUUAGCUGAACUCUAAAAUAAACCUACUCCUUGGCAAAGGGUCUGUGUGGGAUCUGAAUGGAAUGAAAAUAUCUUCACCAGAUGUAUGCUCAGAAUAAAGGCUGUUGAUUUUAAACAGAUGCAGUCAAGUAAAAUAAUAGAAAAAGCAAGACCAGGCUUCUAAGUAACCCCAGGCUGGCAAGAGCUUUUCAGGUGCCCACACAAGUGAUGCAAGUGUCACAUGUUAAGUGCUACCCUGGUUUCUCACAUUGCUUUUAAAACAAUGUCUUCUACCAGCUAGUCUAGCAACCUCCCAUCAGAGACUUUCCUUGGGUCAGACAGCAUUCUACUGAGCUGGCCAGUAUCUCUUUUGGGAUUUUCUCUGUGACGAUGGGGUGAGAGGACUAAAGCAAGUACAAAGUGCCUUGUUGGCAAAGCAGCUAGGGUUCCUUCUUGGGCUGUCUAAAGGGGCUGAGCUUACAAGGCAGUGGGUAUGCGCUGACUUUGCCUAAGGCUUACACUGGUGAGUGUUUUCGAAGUUGGAGAUGAGGACUUAUGUCUGACUGAGUAGAAGUACAAAGCCAUCUGCAAGUUGGACUGAGGGCACUUUUACAUGUGUUCUGGGGGGGUGGGGGUGGCGCUUUAAUCAGAGUGGUUCUGAGAGCUGCUCUAAUUAAAGCACCACAGUGUCUUGUGUAUUAGCAUAUCCCUGCUUCAAAAUGGUGGUGGGGGUGCUUGAACUAGAGCUCAUUUGACAAGCUUUACUUCAAGCGCUCCUUCCGCCAUUUUGAAGUGCAGAGGCACCAAUACACGAGAGACAGGAGGCUGCUGGAACAUGGUAACUACCAUGCUCUAACAGAUUAGAUUAAUUGAAGUGCAUUGGAACAGCACAUGGGAGCAGCCUUCACACUCGUGUACGAGCACCCGAGUGCAACCCUGGCUUUCUCUGGGCAGGAGCACAGUCAUGGAAGUUAUGGAAUCAUCAUUAUCUGAGAGAAUGUCUCAUGCUUAACCCUUCCCACAAAAGAGCAAGGAGACAGCACUAAAUAGUUUCUGGCCUGGAGGUUAUGAUACUUGCUGAAGAGAUGGGAGAGGUGAAUUAGGGCCAUAGACUGGCUAGGGUAAAGGGGACUUCCUGUUGUGUAAAUUGUAAUUUACAUUAAAUGCAUUGCAAUUAUAUUUUCAAAGAGGGACCUAAUCCAAAUGUAAUCUGGGUACACCCAAGGGUGUGCCCUAUUCUCAAUUGGAUGGGACAGGUAGGCAGGAGGUGGGUACUGUGAGAGGGAUGCCAGAAUUUUGAGCAGAUCUCUCUUUCCUCUAUAGAGUUAGCCCAAGCCCAAAGUUCUUAACUAUAUACAAUUUAUUGAAUUACCAACAUAUAUAAAACUCUUUAAGAUAGACAUAAUUACAGAUAUAAAUACAAAUAUACCUAUAAAGGUCUAUUAACUGGAGGAAGUCAGCCCUAGGGAGGGCAUUCGGGUAACUACCUGUGCCUCAGGCCCAGAAGAGGGGUGGAUCCCAGGACAGUCAAUCGAGCAAGUUUAUACCACAAGUGAGUUAGCUAAUAAAGACAUCCUUACAGAGUCCAUUAUACAGAAUUAAUACACCCAACUAUUUAUAAACACCAACAAUAACAAUAGAUACCAAAUAAGAAAUAUAACCAUACCAGAUAUUAGACGCCCUAUCUGAGUUCCAACCGCUUGGUCCCUCAAAUGGGAUAGGGUCUUCUCCCCCUAGGCCCACUCCCCGCCAGGGUCCCUUGCCUGGGGGCACCUCCCCUGUGGGACCCGGGUUCCCGGUAACUCACAGUCCUUCCUCUGGGGGUUGUCAGUCUGGCCUCUGGGUCCCCACACCGUCUCAGGCCUCCUGGAGCCGUUGGCUUCAAGUUGAGGGUUCUUCCCUCUGGGCCCUGGGCCCCACAUUGGGCACCCAAAGAGCUCCUAUGGGAGCCGAGCCCUCGCUGACUCCAGUUCCUCAGCCUCACACCAUGGGUCUUUUCCCUUCCUGGGCCCUGCUCAGGGCACCAGGGCUCUUAAUGCUGAGCCACACUGCAGGGCUCUAGUUAUGUGGCCUAGAGCCAAGGCUAACUUGAGGGCUGACUCUCUGUGUGUCAACCUAUGCACCAUGGGGGGCCCAAGCAGCCUUGAGCUGCUCCCAGGGCUGGCUCUCCACGCGCCACUCGCGUACCUCCCUGCCCAGCUGCCUGCCAGAGUUACGGGCCUGAGCCUCUCUGCUGUAGCUCCCAAGGCCCGGGCCUGUGCACCGCCCUGUGUACCAUGGAACCUGUUGGCCCUCCGGGGCUGCAGGCUCAAGCCACCACUCACGGCUCCUAGAGCCCUAGCUCCGUGUGCCGAAAUGCGCACCGUGACACCCAGCCACCCGCUGGGGUUUCAGGCUCGAACUGCCACUUGCGACUCCCAAAGCCUGGACUCUGUGCACCAAACUGUGCACCGUGAUGGGCCUGAGCAAUCUCACACUGCUCCCAGGGUUGGGUCUCUGUGCACGAUCCUCAGGUGCCAUCCACAGCCCGAGUUGUCUCGCACCGCUCCCAAGGCUGCUCCUUCAGUAGUGGCUUCAGGAGCCUUGGGCCUAUUGCCUGCUGGGGAAGAGCUCCCCAGCUUUUCUCAAUGUAUCUCUUCCCCAGCCUGUUGAGCAGGCUCCCUUUUUAUACUUUUGAGGGGCUCCAUCCCCAAAGUCCUCUGGACCUGGCUGGUGCAGUUCCAAUCCAGGUCCAGUUGCUUCUUGCCCCCUCCCUUUGGAAAAGGGUGGGGCAUUGCUUCUCUUCUGCUGUCUUCGGAUUGGUGGGCGGGCUCCACCAAUCAAACAGCAGACCCUUGAUUCUGGGACUCAACCCAAGCUCUGAGAAGGUAAGCCUGCUACACUAACAUAUAGGAGAAUUCCUACCUCUCUGUUUAUCUAUAUUUUUCCUGUUUGUAAAACUUGUAUUGUUUUAAAAAAUAAGGGCAUCUCUACAUGUGCUCCAGGAUGGAGCGGGGGAUGCUUUAGUUAUAGUGGCUCUAAGAGCUGCUCCAAUGAAAGCACCCACAGCAUCAUGUGUAUUCAGCAUCCCAUACUUCAAAAUGGCAGCGGGGGUGCUUUGACUAAAGCUUAUUCAACGAGCUUUAGUUUAAGCACCCCUGCCACCAUUUUGAAAUGCAGGGAUGCUGAAUACAUGUGAAUCGGAGGCUGCUGGAAGGUGCUAAUUAGCAUGCAUCAGAGCAGAGUCUGUCACAUGUAUAGAUGCCCUAAGAUUUGUAAGCUUCAUGCAUCAGAGUAUAUGCUGGUCAGGAAAGAAUGUUACUGCACAGUUGUGGAAUCAGAAAAAAAUAAAUGCCUUAAACUUUGAUCAUACAAGUUAUAAGAUGACAUAACCGCUUUGUGGGGAAUUGCUGGCUCUGUACAGUAGAACAGAUAAGGGAAAGUGUUUGUUCUUUGUAACUCCUCUGCAACUGCUUCGCUCACCGCGGCCUUGAAGAUAGCAGAGAAAAAAAAAAGUAUGUACAACUCUGAUUUCCAGGUGCAAGAAGGGAGUGCUAUUUCUCGCUUUGUGAAGUAACCUCGUCUCCCCCAUAGUUCCCAUCCUGAUAACAGCAAAGCAGUAUGAGCUAAUGUUUGUUUGUAGCUGCUUUUCCUAGCAAACUCCACUAUAUGAUCACGUGAGUUGUAAGCGACUGUUAAAAAGUAUAUAAACCUCCUAAUUUUGCUCUUGUGGGGGGACCCCUUCCAAGUGCUUGGGAAUUCCAUGUCACUUUAGAGUCCCCCCUACAGCUGUAGUUUCAUUUGAAUAAAAGCUUCUGCUGACCUGACCUAAAA